rnacentral:rRNA from 1 species
ACGAACUCUGGUAUUGAUUGGUGCUUGCAUCAUGAUUUACAUUUGAGUGAGUGGCGAACUGGUGAGUAACACGUGGGAAACCUGCCCAGAAGCGGGGGAUAACACCUGGAAACAGAUGCUAAUACCGCAUAACAACUUGGACCGCAUGGUCCGAGCUUGAAAGAUGGCUUUGGCUAUCACUUUUGGAUGGUCCCGCGGCGUAUUAGCUAGAUGGUGGGGUAACGGCUCACCAUGGCAAUGAUACGUAGCCGACCUGAGAGGGUAAUCGGCCACAUUGGGACUGAGACACGGCCCAAACUCCUACGGGAGGCAGCAGUAGGGAAUCUUCCACAAUGGACGAAAGUCUGAUGGAGCAACGCCGCGUGAGUGAAGAAGGGUUUCGGCUCGUAAAACUCUGUUGUUAAAGAAGAACAUAUCUGAGAGUAACUGUUCAGGUAUUGACGGUAUUUAACCAGAAAGCCACGGCUAACUACGUGCCAGCAGCCGCGGUAAUACGUAGGUGGCAAGCGUUGUCCGGAUUUAUUGGGCGUAAAGCGAGCGCAGGCGGUUUUUUAAGUCUGAUGUGAAAGCCUUCGGCUCAACCGAAGAAGUGCAUCGGAAACUGGGAAACUUGAGUGCAGAAGAGGACAGUGGAACUCCAUGUGUAGCGGUGAAAUGCGUAGAUAUAUGGAAAGAACACCAGUGGCGAAGGCGGCUGUCUGGUCUGUAACUGACGCUGAGGCUCGAAAGUAUGGGUAGCAAACAGGAUUAGAUACCCUGGUAGUCCAUACCGUAAACGAUGAAUGCUAAGUGUUGGAGGGUUUCCGCCCUUCAGUGCUGCAGCUAACGCAUUAAGCAUUCCGCCUGGGGAGUACGGCCGCAAGGCUGAAACUCAAAGGAAUUGACGGGGGCCCGCACAAGCGGUGGAGCAUGUGGUUUAAUUCGAAGCUACGCGAAGAACCUUACCAGGUCUUGACAUACUAUGCAAAUCUAAGAGAUUAGACGUUCCCUUCGGGGACAUGGAUACAGGUGGUGCAUGGUUGUCGUCAGCUCGUGUCGUGAGAUGUUGGGUUAAGUCCCGCAACGAGCGCAACCCUUAUUAUCAGUUGCCAGCAUUAAGUUGGGCACUCUGGUGAGACUGCCGGUGACAAACCGGAGGAAGGUGGGGAUGACGUCAAAUCAUCAUGCCCCUUAUGACCUGGGCUACACACGUGCUACAAUGGAUGGUACAACGAGUUGCGAACUCGCGAGAGUAAGCUAAUCUCUUAAAGCCAUUCUCAGUUCGGAUUGUAGGCUGCAACUCGCCUACAUGAAGUCGGAAUCGCUAGUAAUCGCGGAUCAGCAUGCCGCGGUGAAUACGUUCCCGGGCCUUGUACACACCGCCCGUCACACCAUGAGAGUUUGUAACACCCAAAGUCGGUGGGGUAACCU